CCUACGGGAGGCAGCAGUGGGGAAUAUUGCGCAAUGGGCGAAAGCCGGACGCAGCGACGCCGCGUGAGGGAUGAAGGUCUGCGGAUCGUAAACCUCUGUCAGCAGGGAAGAACGGUCACGGUGCUAAUCAGCAGUGAAUGGACGGUACCGGCAAAGGAAGCACCGGCGAACGCCGUGCCAGCAGCCGCGGUAAGACGGAGGGAGCGAGCGUUAAUCGGAAUUACGGGGCGGAAAGCGCUCGUAGGCGGUAUGUCAAGUCAAGGGUGAAAUCCCCGCGCUCAACGUGGGAACUGCCUUUGAAACUGGCACACUGGCGUGUGUGCGCGGCUAGUGGUCUUCCAGGUGU
rnacentral:rRNA from 1 species